UCGAGCGCGAUAAGGGCAUUCGGUGGAUGCCUUGGCACCGAGAGGCGAUGAAGGACGUGGCACGCUGCGAAAAGCGUCGGGGAGCUGCGAGCAGGCUUUGAUCCGGCGAUAUCCGAAUGGGGCAACCCGGCCCGCAAGGGUCAUCCCGCACUGAAUCCAUAGGUGCGGGAAGCGAACCCGGGGAACUGAAACAUCUCAGUACCUGGAGGAAAGGACAUCAACAGAGACUCCGUUAGUAGUGGCGAGCGAACGCGGACCAGGCCAGUGAUCGACGAGAGGUAACCGGAACGCUCUGGAAAGGGCGGCCAUAGCGGGUGACAGCCCCGUACGGGUAAGCCGAUCGUCGGUCCAUGAGUAGGGCGGGACACGUGCAAUCCUGCCUGAAGACGGGGGGACCACCCUCCAAGCCUAAGUACUCCUCGGUGACCGAUAGUGCACAAGUACCGUGAGGGAAAGGUGAAAAGCACCCCGACGAGGGGAGUGAAAGAGACCUGAAACCGGAUGCCUACAAGCAGUCGGAGGCCGCAAGGCUGACGGCGUACCUUUUGUAUAAUGGGUCAGCGACUUCGUCUGUGCAGCGAGCCUAAGCCGUUAGGUGGAGGCGGAGCGAAAGCGAGUCUGAAUAGGGCGACUGAGUUGCACGGAUGAGACCCGAAACCGGGUGAUCUAGCCAUGAGCAGGUUGAAGGUGCAGUAACAUGCACUGGAGGACCGAACCCACUCCUGUUGAAAAAGUAGGGGAUGACUUGUGGCUAGGGGUGAAAGGCCAAUCAAACUCGGAAAUAGCUGGUUCUCCGCGAAAUCUAUUUAGGUAGAGCGUCGGAUGAUUACCGCCGGGGGUAGAGCACCGGAUGGGCUAGGGGGCCCCACAGGCUUACCAAACCCAACCGAACUCCGAAUACCGGUGAGUACAGUCCGGCAGGCAGACUGCGGGUGCUAAGGUCCGUGGUCGAGAGGGAAACAGCCCAGACCGCCAGCUAAGGUCCCCAAGUGGUGGCUAAGUGGGAAAGGAUGUGGGAAGGCCAAGACAACCAGGAGGUUGGCUUAGAAGCAGCCAUCCUUUAAAGAAAGCGUAAUAGCUCACUGGUCUAGACAAGCCAGCCUGCGCCGAAGAUGUACCGGGGCUCAAGCCACCCACCGAAGCUGCGGGUUUGCACGCAAGUGCAAGCGGUAGCGGAGCGUUCCGUCUGCGGUGAAGGGAUACCCGUGAGGGGUCCUGGAGCGGCCGGAAGUGAGAAUGCUGACAUGAGUAACGCAAGGAGUGCGAGAACCACUCCCGCCGAACAUCCAAGGGUUCCUGCGCAAGGUCAAUCCGCGCAGGGUGAGCCGGCCCCUAAGGCGAGGGCGAGAGCCGUAGCCGAUGGGAACCAGGUCAACAUUCCUGGGCCCGCUGGAGGUGACGACGGAUGCGUGUUGUUCGGACUUACUGGAUUGUCCGGGCGGCGCAAGUUCGUCCAGGAAACAGCCCCAGCAUAUGGACCGUACCCGAAACCGACACAGGUGGAUGGGUAGAGUAUACCAAGGCGCUCGAGAGAACGGUGUUGAAGGAACUAGGCAAAUUGACCCCGUAACUUCGGGAGAAGGGGUGCCUCUCAUUGGGCAACCAGUGGGGGGCGGCACAGACCAGGGGGUGGCGACUGUUUACUAAAAACACAGGGCUCUGCGAAGCCGAUGAGGCGACGUAUAGGGUCUGACGCCUGCCCGGUGCCGGAAGGUUAAGAGGAGGGGUGCAAGCUCCGAAUCGAAGCCCCGGUAAACGGCGGCCGUAACUAUAACGGUCCUAAGGUAGCGAAAUUCCUUGUCGGGUAAGUUCCGACCUGCACGAAUGGCGUAACGACUUCCCCACUGUCUCCAACACCGGCUCGGUGAAAUUGAACUCUCCGUGAAGAUGCGGAGUACCCGCGGUCAGACGGAAAGACCCCGUGCACCUUUACUGCAGCUUUGCAAUGGUGCCAGGAACCGGAUGUGUAGGAUAGGCGGGAGCCUAUGAAGCGGCGGCGCCAGCCGUCGUGGAGGUACCCUUGAAAUACCGCCCUUUUGGUUUUUGGCCUCUAACCGAGCUCCGUUAGCCGGAGCCGGGACCUUGCAUGGCGGGCAGUUUGACUGGGGCGGUCGCCUCCCAAAGAGUAACGGAGGCGCGCGAUGGUAGGCUCAGGCUGGUCGGACAUCAGCCGUCGAGUGCAAUGGCACAAGCCUGCCUGACUGCGAGACAGACAAGUCGAGCAGAGACGAAAGUCGGUCAUAGUGAUCCGGUGGUCCCGCGUGGAAGGGCCAUCGCUCAACGGAUAAAAGGUACGCCGGGGAUAACAGGCUGAUGAUGCCCAAGAGUCCAUAUCGACGGCAUCGUUUGGCACCUCGAUGUCGGCUCAUCACAUCCUGGGGCUGGAGCAGGUCCCAAGGGUUCGGCUGUUCGCCGAUUAAAGUGGUACGUGAGCUGGGUUUAGAACGUCGUGAGACAGUUCGGUCCCUAUCUGCCGCGGGCGCAGGAUGCUUGAGAGGAGCUGCCCUUAGUACGAGAGGACCGGGGUGGACGUGCCUCCGGUGGACCGGUUGUCGCGCCAGCGGCAUAGCCGGGUAGCUAAGCACGGACGGGAUAACCGCUGAAAGCAUCUAAGCGGGAAGCCCCCCUCAAGACCAGGCAUCCCUAAGAGCCGUGGAAGACCACCACGUCGAUAGGCCGGAUGUGGAAGUGCGGCAACGCAUGAAGCUGACCGGUCCUAAUCGCUCGAUAGAGCUCGAUAC
rnacentral:rRNA from 1 species